UACGUAGGGUGCAAGCGUUAAUCGGAAUUACUGGGCGUAAAGCGUGCGCAGGCGGUUUUGUAAGUCUGAUGUGAAAUCCCCGGGCUCAACCUGGGAAUUGCAUUGGAGACUGCAAGGCUAGAAUCUGGCAGAGGGGGGUAGAAUUCCACGUGUAGCAGUGAAAUGCGUAGAUAUGUGGAGGAACACCGAUGGCGAAGGCAGCCCCCUGGGUUAACACUGACGCUCAUGCACGAAAGCGUGGGGAGCAAACAGG
rnacentral:rRNA from 1 species